GAGGGUGCGGAGCGGGGGAGGAGUACUGGCGUGUUCCUGGGAGGGUUACGUAACAUGUUAAGGCCGCGCGUGGUUGUGGAGGCGGGCGGGAGUGUUAAGGUAGAUGUCGUUGAUGAGGUUCGGGAAGUGGCGGAUCAGUCUCUUGGCGAGGUCGUUGUGCACGGAGGUGGCGUUGAGGACACAGAGGUGGAGCACGCUCUCGCCCACCGCUCCCACGUGCUGGAGGUCCCAACACACGUAGCGAGUAUAUGGAGACAGGACAAGAGAAUCGUCUAUCAACAAGAAUGAAAGGCCUUGGUAUUUUGUGCGUCAUCUUCUGGCCUGUCCAUCUACCUUCACACGGCAAGAAUCCACGAAACAAAGAAAUAGGCGUAUCUGUGUUGUUAUAGUACAUGUAUGUGAAGAUAAGGCAUUAGCAUUGUAUAUAGAUAAGAAGAAGGACUGGGCUUGUUAAGAUGGCGUAAGCUCCUGCCCUCCUCACCUAAAGUCCAGGUUACAAAAGAACAAGACAAGCGAAGUAAUGGCCUUCUCUAUCUUCUUUUAACAGCAUAUAGAGGUAAGGUAAGAGCAUCAUAUAACAGUAAGAGGAACGGAUGGGUGACUCUUAGGCAACCAGUUAUUUUUCUACCUAGCACACCAUCACGUAAAAAAGGAUGUGGGAAAAUGUGUCGCCCGCCGUUAGUAGUUUAUGAUAUAACGAAACAGGCUAAAAGUAUGUUUAUAUAUAAAGAAAUUAGGGAGUUUGUGCAAUUUUCUGUCCCUAUGUAUAUAAAGGCAAGGCAAAAAUAUGUGAACUGAUUGACGAAUGAAUAAUGUAAAAAGAAAACCUGUCAUAUAAAUAGAAGGUAAAUAGCGGCUUAAAAACACAAAUAAGCAAAUCAAUAAAUAAGAGCAAUAAUAAUAAUAAUAAUAAUAAUAAUAAUAAUAAUAAUAAUAAUAAUAAUAAUAAUAAUAAUAAUAAUAA